UGGGGAAUAUUGCACAAUGGAGGGAACUCUGAUGCAGCGACGCCGCGUGAGUGAUGAAGGAAUUCGUUUCGUAAAACUCUGUUCUAUGGGAAGAAAAGGACUGUACCAUAGGAGAAAGCUCCGGCUAAAUACGUGCCAGCAGCCGCGGUAAUACGUAUGGAACGAGCGUUGUCCGGAAUUAUUGGGCGUAAAGGGUGCGCAGGCGGCUUUACAAGUUGGAUGUGAAAUAUUGUGGCUCAACCACAAACGUGCAUCCAAAACUGCAAAGCUUGAGUUAAGGAGAGGUAAGGUGGAUUCCUGGUGUAGCGGUGGAAUGCGUAGAUAUCAGGAGGAAUACCGGUGGCGAAGGCGACUUACUGGACUUAAACUGACGCUCAGGCACGAAAGCGUGGGGAGCAAACAGG
rnacentral:rRNA from 1 species